rnacentral:rRNA from 1 species
AGGACGAACGCUGGCGGCGUGCUUAAUACGAUGCAAGUCGAACGGAGCUUAGCUGAUAGUUACUAGAGGCGAAAGCUUAGUGGCGGACGGGUGAGUAACGCGUGGGUAAUCUGCCCCUAAGUCCGGGAUAACAGAGCGAAAGUUCUGCUAAGACCGGAUACUCUUUACCAGUUGCAAUAACGGGUAAAGGAAAGGUAACGCUUAGGGAUGAGCCCGCGUCCCAUUAGCUAGUUGGUGAGGUAACGGCCCACCAAGGCGACGAUGGGUAGCCGGCCUGAGAGGGUGGACGGCCACACUGGGACUGAGACACGGCCCAGACUCCUACGGGAGGCAGCAGUAGGGAAUUUUCCGCAAUGGGCGCCAAGCCUGACGGAGCAACGCCGCGUGAGGGACGAAGGUCUUCGGAUCGUAAACCUUUGUCAUCGAGGACGAUAAUGACGGUACUCGAGGAGGAAGCCCCGGCUAACUACGUGCCAGCCGCGGC